rnacentral:lncRNA from 1 species
CGGCUAUAUCUUCUCUCUGCUUCAACAGAACCUCCAAGGCUUUAUCUGCUUCGUCCGCCAUCUUCGCCAACUUGGCGGCUCUAUCUUCCUGACCACUUCUACGAUAAGUCUUGGUCGGUGAGCCUUCCGCCUGCCCUUGACCAUGAUCACGCUCCUUAUCCGCACCGAAAACCAAUCUUCGUCUGGCCCCACCAUGGAUCUUCGGACGGAGAUCUCCUGAAUUAUGCUUAGAGGCCGUGCUCUCGUGAGCACUUUUAGAAGGACCCAGACGAUCCUUUACCGAAACACGAG